AGAGGAUACUGGAAGAGGAGGUGCUCCUGUCCCCCCACACACACCUCCACCCCGCAGGCCCUCAUUUCCUCUUCUCUUUCCCCUUGACAAAAGAUGUUUAUUAAACAACAACAGCAGCAGCAAUCCACAGGAGAUGAAGUAAAAUGAUGAGGGGAAAAGUUGGGGAUUUUAGGACGUUGUCCGCUUUGGAGGGGGCUCUCCUUGCACUCUUUGUAGAGAUUUACAUGACUGCGAGCUUCCCUGGGCCCCUCAGUAGCUGAGGGAGGAGGAGAGAGGUGAAUAAAACGACUGAGUGUCCAAGAAUCCACUAUCUGUCCUGAAAUUAGAAACUACUUGAGGUUAAAGGGAUCCAUCAGGUCCCGGAAACGUGAGCCUAGGAAAGAGUUUAAUACAAGGAACCAGAGCGCCUUUACAUUUAUUGGGCCUUUCUCUGACUCUGGCCAGAAGGAUGGAUUUAAGAUGGUGGUGGUGACGUGGGGGGUGGGGGUGAGGGAAGCCAUUUCUCCUUUUCUCCACUGAAUAACCACCCAGGCCCCUAAAUUUGCCCUGAUGAGGGAGCUAAAUAGGAGAAAGGGUUAAGGCCACUUUCCUGAGGUGUGACCAGAGCAGAGGCCUGGGAAAGGAUCCCCAGUCAGCAAGGGAAGGGGUCCCAAGUUAUCUCCCCUUCCAUCCAAAGAGGAAGGAGCCUGGGCUGAGUUUUCAGCCCUCCUGUACUACUCCUCUCACCUGAGGCUCCUGCUCUGGAGAUUUCCAAACACCGAUAUAGGGGCCAGUGUGGACAGCGAGCCCAUGGUCAGUCUCUUCCCCUCACUGCCUUACCCCCUGCAGACCCCUUCAUUGGAGCUUCCAAAUAGCCCUUUUUAUAUAUAUCUAUUCUGUGGCCCUGCACAGGGACUCCCCCGGGGCCCACCGACUGGCUUCCUCGCUCCUCUCCCAGCCCCUGCUCCUCAGCUUCUGCCCUGGUUGCAGUCGCCUCUCCUGGCACUUGGGGAGGUGUGACCCCUGGACAGACCCAGUUCUCCUCUGGUUAGGCUCAGGGGUAGAUUGGGGUGGAUUUCUCGGCAACUCUCUGACUCUGAGUCCUAAUAAGGCAGGCUGCCCUCAGUCCGGUCCUUUUAGCAAAAGAGGGGCCACUCUAACUUGAGUCCGUAUCUUUUUGGCCACCUACCCCUCUGCCUUGUAGAAGGCUGCGGAUCACCUCCCACACAGGCACACACUCCCACCCGCUUGUCUUUCCAAAUGAAGCCAUCUCGUGUCAUUACACGUGAAAUACGAGGGUGAAGCGCCAUAUUUCUUCACAUUAUGGCGAUUUCAAAAUGAUUUUUUAAAGAUCAAUGCCGGCGCCCAUCUGGCCCCCUCCUUUCCCACCCCUGCUCUCCGAGGGUGACAGCCCGGCAGAUCCGUAACCAAACAGCAUGAAGGUCUGCCUUUUCCAUAGGACCCAAGUGGGGAAACAAAAAUCCGAUGCAAAUUCUUCCAAGCAGAGGUUGGACGCUUGGGAAAGUCGAGGGAGCUCCCCGGACUCACCAGCGAAAAAGCUGGGCACUGAGCGAAUGAAUCACAGUUAAGGCAAAGCACCUGUUCUCAAUUUGCCAGCCCUAUGAAGUCUGCUGUUGGCUUUACCUGUCAUAAAUACACUCUUCAGGAAAAAAGAUUCCCUCCCCCGCCAUAAAUAAUGGUGUUAUGAAGCAUGGUGGGCUGAGUAUAUGAUUUCUGUAGUAUAUAAAUUAGGGCCUAAAAGGACAUGUUUACUACGGACUGGGGUUUUUUUAUUUAUUGAAAAGUCACAGCGCUGGGCUGUCCUUAAGACCCAAGCAAAGCAGGCACUGCGCUCUGACUGCCGUCUUCCUGGUUCCCCUUCCCUCUCCUGCCCUGACUUUGCAGCUGCCUCUCUGCAACAAGAGAGGAGUCAAGAGGACCACUCAGUUUAGGGAAGAAGUUAGAGGAAGAAGAACACUUGGGCUGAUGGCUUGUGCUCUACAAGGCGGCCAGACCUUUGCCCAGCCCUGCCCGUUUAUUGCCGGGUACUUGCUGGAAGGGGACAGAAGAUAAGACUCGGGGUGACUCCCAAGGCCUGAAGGGGGCUGAUUGGGCCGGGGGCUCCCAGAGGAUAAACCUAGGGGCCGGUCGGUCUUCCUCGGCGUGGAAGUGAGAGCCACGCGGCGUGGCGGAGCUCCACCACCGUCUCCUUAUCUCUUUAAAGCCUCAAAAUCAAACAAAACCACUACUACCCAGGCCUCAAGUUUCCACAGUUUUUGUCUGCUCUGGACCGUUUACUUUUUUUGAAAAAAGAGAACUUGGUGGAAUCCAAAUUCUCUACUAGGCCUCCGAACCAAAACGAAGGAAAAUCCGUUUUCUUCUUGGGC
rnacentral:lncRNA from 10 species